AUAUUUAUUGUUGUUAAUGUUGAACGAAUUGUGACAUUUUGCCAAUGAUAUAUACGUAUUUGUCUAGAUAAUUUAUUUGUUAAUGAAAUAAAUUUUUAGUUAAGUAUUUAAUUAUUUUUAAAAAAAAUUCAGAAUAACCGAAAUAACUAUUCAAUUCUUUCGAUUAAUUCGAUUCGGUAAUCAAAAUAACUGUUUUAUUAGAAUUAGAACUCCCC
rnacentral:lncRNA from 1 species